GUGCUUUCUUCAGCAGCACAUAUACUAAAACUGGAAUGAUGCAGAGAUUAGCAUGGUCCCUGUCCAAAAAUGACACAAAAAUUCAUGAAGCAUUUCAUUUUUAA